GCGAAGCCCUACUUUAUCUUGUGAGAGCUGUGUUUCCACAUUCGCUCGAAAAGAAAGACCGCCCACGAGGGCCUGAGUUCGAUGCCCGGCCUCUCCCGACCCGCGGCUGCGACAGCCCCUCUGAGGCGGAAGUUUAUUUAGUAUGGCAAAGAGAACAGCACGGGGUUAAAUUCUGAGAGAGAAGAAAUUCCCAAAAGUUCUAAACAUCACUGGCCACCAGAAAAUAUCUGUGUCAAAAGCGUUUUUCCACAAGCUACAACCUACCACCCUGUUCCUGGGCUCUCUCGUUCUCUUCUCCCAACUGCUUGCCUCUGCUGCUCAUCACUCCCAGUUUGUGAUACUUAAGUAAGUAUAAGUACUCCACUUUUAUUCCACCUCUCCCUCACCAAACUAGGUUUGGGUCCAUCUUUGCUUAUCCCAAGAGUUAAAGACAAGUUCUGCUCAACAAAAGAUUAGGCAAAACAAUCUUUAUGAUCUGUUAUACUGUGUCAAUGCAUUGUUUUCUUUUACAUAGCCUCAGUUAGAUUCUUAACCAUCAGCCAGAGCUAUGGGGACUUGGGUGUGAGGCAAGAAGGAGUCAACUCUUAGACAAUGGAAAAGAUCAAAAUGAAAGUUAAAGUGAGUACAUGAGUGGCCAUUUUAUUGAGAGAUUAGCUAGAUCAAAGUUAAUGAACUUGAAUGCUAUCGCAUUUCCUAAGUUGUGAACAUUCAUGUAGAAACUAGUUUGAAAUUUACUACCAUUUUAUUAUGACUGUAAUAAAAAUAAUAGCCAAAGUGUAAUAUUGCUGAGCACCAGGCCCCAUGCAAAACUCUUUACCUACACCAUUUAAUUUUCAAAUAAACCUUUGAGAUGGAUCCUAUUUUUAUAGUAGGGAGAUCUGUGAAGUUCCAGCAAGGGGUUGAGGCACUCAGAAGGCUUAGCAUAAGCUACUUACCAAAUAGUUUAGAAAUUUUUCUAUCUCUACAAUGUGUACCAAUUGACUGUCAGUCAUGGAAGCAUUCUGAAUAAUUGUUCAUUGUUGCUGCUGUUUCUUAAUUGUUACUGCUGUUUCAUAAUUGUUGCUCUAGCUACUUUUCACUUAUAGGAUCCCAUUUUCCAGGAAGUCAUCCAAAGGGCAGCAUUGUUACUGCCAUGAGCAAGAAAGAGUGACCUUGAGAUAAUCAUUUUACUCAUUUGGGCCUCCGUUUUCUCAUUUGUAAAAUAAAAGGGUUGAACUAGGCUGCCAUAUAAGACAUGCCUUUCACCUUCUGCCGAUUGUGAGGCCUCCCUAGCCACAUGGAACCAUGAGUUCAUUAAGCCUUUUUCUUAUAAAUUAUCCAGUCUCAGUUAUGAAGGCUGAGAAGUCCAGGAUUGAGGGGCCGCAUUGGUGAGGGGAUUCUUGCUGGUGAGGACUCUCUGCAGAGACCUAAGGCUGCAUCAGCAAUCGCAUGCUCAACAACAACUUUUCUGCAAAGCUCUUGAUCCUUCCACAUCUGGCAUGAAAAUAUUCCAAGUUAUCUGUGUUGGCAGAUGGAGCUGUGCUGAACGGAAGCUUUAUCCUGGAUUCGGUCUUCUGUCCCAGCACGAGCACCUGACUCAACUUUGGAAGUGUGGAGAAGGUUAUGGAACUUCAUCCUGCCCUAGUUCACCUCCCCCCACUUCCAGUCCUACCCUCUUAUACUUCUUCUUGGUCCAAAUGGAUUAUCCCCUAAUUUUUCCCCUUAAAGAUAUCAAUAGAACAUUGAUUAUCCAUAC